rnacentral:rRNA from 1 species
GAUGAACGCUGGCGGCGUGCCUAAUACAUGCAAGUCGAGCGAACAGACGAGGAGCUUGCUCCUCUGACGUUAGCGGCGGACGGGUGAGUAACACGUAGAUAACCUACCUAUAAGACUGGGAUAACUUCGGGAAACCGGAGCUAAUACCGGAUAAUAUAUUGAACCGCAUGGUUCAAUAGUGAAAGACGGUUUUGCUGUCCCUUAUAGAUGGAUCCGCGCCGCAUUAGCUAAUUGGUAAGGUAACGGCUUACCAAGGCGACGAUGCGUAGCCGACCUGAGAGGGUGCUCGGCCACACUGGAACUGAGACACGGUCCAGACUCCUACGGGAGGCAGCAGUAGGGAAUCUUCCGCAAUGGGCGAAAGCCUGACGGAGCAACGCCGCGUGAGUGAUGAAGGUCUUCGGAUCGUAAAACUCUGUUAUUCGGGAAGAACAAAUGUGUAAGUAACUAUGCACGUCUUGACGGUACCUAAUCAGAAAGCCACGGCUAACUCCGUG